GCAAUAAGUAUGGACAUACACGUCAAACAUGCUAUCUGAUUCAUGGUUUUCCUUUUUAUAAGUCUAAAGGAUCAACCCCAAUACCUACUGUCGCUGUUGUCACAUCCAAAGACACGCAUGACCACCAAAUCCUUCCAUCUCUUUCCGCUGAUCAGUAUAGCCGUCUCCUUUCCAUGUUGUCCACUCCAAUGGCUGAUGAUGAUAUCUCUCCUAAGGUGAAUCUCACAGGUAAUACCACCAAUAAUUUAUUCAAUUCAAUUUGGUAUGUUGAUAGUGGUGCUACACAUCAUGCAUGUUUGUUGUGAUUUAUCAUUGUUUAGUAAAUACUACAAUCCUCGUAAACUCAUAAAUGUUGAAUUACCAGAUGGCUCUCAAGCCACUAUGAAACAUAUUGGUGAAGUAAUCUUCUCGCCUACCUUCAAAUUAAUGCAUGUUUAUCACAUACCUGAAUUCAAAUUUAAUCUAAUUUCAAUAUCUCAAGCAACUAAAUCUCUUAGUUGCAAAGCAGAGUUUCUAAACUCUCGUUGUUUAUUUCAGGACCUACGCUCGAAUCAGACGAUUGGUCAGGCUGAUCUCAUUUCUGGUCUCUAUCAGCUCCGGUUUCCUUCUGCUACUUGUUUUUUUGAUAAGACGCCAAUUGAUAUAUGGCAUUGUCGCUUAGGCCAUCCUAGCCAAGCUCGUUUUAAAUUUUUAUGUAAAACAAUAGAUUCUAUUCAUUCCAAAUUUUCUUCAGAAUGUAAUGUUUGCCCCCAAGCAAAACAAGCACGUUUAUCAUUCAAUAAAAAUGCAAUUUCUUC
rnacentral:lncRNA from 1 species